AUUGCGCCUCCCUCCCUUACCAAAGCUCUCCCUCUCAAUCUCAACAUACACUCAAACACUUUCUGACUUACCGCCGAUCACUGCCUCCUUCACCCACCUCACCGCCGUUCUCCAUGCGCCCUUGUUCACGCAAAAAAUAUAUGUUCAGUCCUUCUCCUCCAAGAACUUUCUAUUAUCAUUGGCUUGCUAUUUUUUUGUCUUUAUUUUUUAUUUUUUUCUUUUAAAUCUAUAGGCUGAAAUAGAAAAUCUUAUAAAUGAGGAGCACCAGUUAGAUGAGCAAAUAAAGUUUCAGUGUCCUCUGCUGAUUCUACUAAACCCUAAACAGUUGUCAUACUUGUUUGCUAUCUUUUUAACUAAUCCUUAAUCUUUAUUGCAAUGAGAUGCAAGAAAGAUUAAAAGGUCUUAGUGAAGAUGAAAACACUCAAAGGUUAGGGAGCAUAUAAAAAUAUUCACCAUAUGACUGAUGAGGUGGUCCUGAUGGAUGAUAAAAUUAACAGUGUUGUGAGAGUUCUUUCUGGUGGCAUGAAGAGGAAAUUAUCUCUUGGAAUUGCAUUGAUAGGAAACAAUAAAGUAGUAUGCAUAUCAAAAACACUUGCUCUAUUUUGUAUUCAUAUAUUGAAAAAAAUUGGAAUCCCUUGAUCUUACCUGGCAUGUUAUAAUUCUUGAUGAACCUCCCAGCGGAAUGGAUCCAUACUCAAUGCGUUUGACUUCAUAGUUAAUACAAAAAUUUAAGAAGGGAAGGAUAAUCUUACUAGCAACUCAUUCAAUGGAUGAAUCAUAUGAACUAGAUGAUCGGAUAGCUAUCAUGGCCAAUGGUUUUCUGAAAUGCCGAGGAAGCUCACUUUUCUUGAAGCAUCAUUAUGGAGUUGGUUAUAGUCUAACUCUUGUAAAGUAAGCUCCUGUUGCUUCUAUAGCUAGUGAUAUAGUAUAUCAUCAUGUUCCCUCAGCAACAUGUGUAAGCGAGAUGCUGAAAGUGAAGAGAUGAGGUGUAAAAAAGGUAAACGUGAAAAUCUUACAUAGAAUAGGUUGAAUAGGUCUUUCCCAGCUUCGGCAGCAUUCGAAUAUGGAUGCAAGCCCUACAUGCUUUAAGAUUGAACCUGGUUUCUUCUCUUUCAUUGUUUUUAAUAGUUAAUUUUAUUAAGGAGUUAGUUACCUAUAUCAUUUGAAAUGCACAAAAGAAAAAAGGAAAAAUGGUAAGGUAGUUGGUUUUAUGUUGGAUUUCAUAUAAACAGUGCUUUGGUUAUGGAUAAUCAAGUUCAAACUCAAUUAAAAAAUACUUCCUUUUCAUACAUUGUUUUUAAAUAUGUUUUGCAUGACGUUAUGAUGAUUGAUUCUAUUUAUUUAAUUCUGCCUUGCUGGAUAUGCAUUUGCAGGUGGGAACUGAGAUUUUCUUUAGGCUUCCCCUAGCAUCUUCAUAAGCUUUUGAGGGGGUGUUUUAGGAAAAUUGAAGGUUGCAUGAAAAAAGCACUUUUGAACAUGAAAAUAAGCGACAAUAGGGCUGCUAUGGCGGCUAGAGUAGUUGUGGUGAAAGCUGUUCACAACAGAAUGGAUGGACAAUUUUGUGAUACUAAUAUCUAAGAAUUAGGUUAUUAGCUUUUUGUGAUGGAAUUGUAAAUUUUCCUUUUACUAAUUCUGAGUACUUAUUUCUUAA